AGAAUCAACGCUGGCGGCGUGCCUAACACAUGCAAGUCGCACGAGAAAGGGGCUUCGGUCCUGAGUACAGUGGCGCACGGGUGAGUAACACGUGAAUAAUCUACCUCCGAGUGGGGAAUAACUGAGAGAAAUCUUAGCUAAUACCGCAUAACACUUACGAGUCAAAGCAGCAAUGCGCUUGGAGAGGAGUUCGCGGCAGAUUAGUUAGUUGGCGGGGUAAUGGCCCACCAAGACGAUGAUCUGUA
rnacentral:rRNA from 1 species